rnacentral:lncRNA from 1 species
CGGGAUACAUAGCGUUGUGCACGAGAUACAUUAGGUUUGAUACAUUCCACAUAGUGGGAUACAUAGCGUUGUGCACGGGAUACAUUAGGUUUGAUACAUUCCACAUAGCGGGAUACCUAGCGUUGUGCACGGGAUACAUGCGAGAUACAUAGUGUUGUGCAUGGGAUACAUAGUGUUUGAUACAUUCCACAUAGUGGGAUACAUAGCGUUGUGCACGAGAUACAUGCGGGAUACAUAGGUAAAAUAAGGGAUUUUUGAAUUUUUUGAAAUAAGUAGGGAUAAAUAGAUAUUAAGGUAAGUAAAGGAGU